ACAGCAGUCGCCGCGGUAAUACGAAGGGUGCAUGCGUUACUCGGAAUUACUGGGCGUAAAGCGUGCGUAGGUGGUGGUUUAAGUCCGUUGUGAAAGCCCUGGGCUCAACCUGGGAAUUGCAGUGGAUACUGGGUCACUAGAGUGUGGUAGAGGAUAGUGGAAUUUCCGGUGUAGCAGUGAAAUGCGUAGAGAUCGGAAGGAACAUCUGUGGCGAAGGCGACUAUCUGGGCCAACACUGACACUGAGGCACGAAAGCGUGGGGAGCAAACAGGAUUAGAUACCCCGGUAGUCCCUGUCUCUUAUAC
rnacentral:rRNA from 1 species